UGGGGAAUAUUGCACAAUGGGCGCAAGCCUGAUGCAGCCAUGCCGCGUGUGUGAAGAAGGCCUUCGGGUUGUAAAGCACUUUCAGCGAGGAGGAAGGUGGUGAGCUUAAUACGCUCAUCAAUUGACGUUACUCGCAGAAGAAGCACCGGCUAACUCCGUGCCAGCAGCCGCGGUAAUACGGAGGGUGCAAGCGUUAAUCGGAAUUACUGGGCGUAAAGCGCACGCAGGCGGUUUGUUAAGUCAGAUGUGAAAUCCCCGGGCUCAACCUGGGAACUGCAUUUGAAACUGGCAAGCUAGAGUCUCGUAGAGGGGGGUAGAAUUUCCAGGUGUAGCGGUGAAAUGCGUAGAGAUCUGGAGGAAUACCGGUGGCGAAGGCGGCCCCCUGGACGAAGACUGACGCUCAGGUGCGAAAGCGUGGGGCAGCAAACAGGAUUAGAUACCCUGGUAGUCCAGCGCUGUAAAACGAUGUCGAUUUGGAGGUUGUGCCCUUGAGGCGUGGCUUCCGGAGCUAACGCGUUAAAUCGACCGCCUGGGGAGUACGGCCGCAAGGUUAAAACUCAAA
rnacentral:rRNA from 1 species